AGUGGCGAACGGGUGAGUAACACGUGAAGAACCUGCCCUUCAGUGGGGGACAACAGUUGGAAACGACUGCUAAUACCGCAUAAGACCACAGUACCGCAUGGUACAGUGAUCAAAGGAUUUAUUCGCUGAAGGAUGGCUUCGCGUCCGAUUAGGUAGUUGGUGAGGUAACGGCCCACCAAGCCUACGAUCGGUAGCCGGACUGAGAGGUUGAUCGGCCACAUUGGGACUGAGACACGGCCCAGACUCCUACGGGAGGCAGCAGUGGGGAAUAUUGCACAAUGGAGGAAACUCUGAUGCAGCGACGCCGCGUGAGGGAAGAAGGUCUUCGGAUUGUAAACCUCUGUCUUCAGGGACGAUAAUGACGGUACCUGAGGAGGAAGCACCGGCUAACUACGUGCCAGCAGCCGCGGUAAAACGUAGGGUGCAAGCGUUGUCCGGAAUUACUGGGUGUAAAGGGAGCGCAGGCGGGAAGGUAAGUUGGAUGUUUAAUCUACGGGCUCAACCCGUAUCAGCAUUCAAAACUAUUUUUCUUGAGUGGUGCAGAGGUAGGCGGAAUUCCCGGUGUAGCGGUGGAAUGCGUAGAUAUCGGGAGGAACACCAGUGGCGAAGGCGGCCUGCUGGGCACUAACUGACGCUGAGGCUCGAAAGCAUGGGUAGCAAACAGGAUUAGAUACCCUGGUAGUCCAUGCC
rnacentral:rRNA from 1 species